AAACAUAACACUAACGUAACAGUUGAUAAUCGACCCUCCACAAAACACCUACAUCAUUCUAAAGAGCCAUGGCAUUGUUCACUUCACAAGGACAGCAGGCGCCUCUGUACGGUUUCUCCCAGUACACUCCGUCAGGGCACCCUCAGUCACAGGCCAUGUUUAAUCAGAGUGGGUUAACGAUGGGAGCAUCUCCCCCCGGGCCCAUGGAUACCAGCGGCUACCUCCCACCAUUCCUACUGGGGACCCCUGCCACCAAAUCACCCUCUCGUUCGCCAGUGUCUCGUCAGCUGUCCACUCACAGUACCAGGGCAACAGGGAGCACCUCUUCUCUACUGGACAGGUCAUCUCUUGGUGUUGGUCCCUCUAGCAAGGUGGGGGUGGUGUCCAGUCCCUGGGGGGUCCACCUGUGGAGGGGCUGUAUGACCAUCCCACUGCCUCCCCUGCCAGGAGCAACACACCAUUCAUACCAGGGUCUGUGGGUGUGGCCAGCCUGGAUCACCGCACACCACCCUCCCCACCUCAGAUGGACCCAUUCUACACUCAGGGAGAGAACCUGACGAGUGAGGAUGACUAUCAGGAUUGUUGGGUCACUGUGUUCGGGUUUCCCCCGGCAACCUCUUCUUAUAUCCUAGAGCAGUUCUCUCAGUACGGGACCAUCCUCAAACAUGUGACACACACACACACAGACAAAAUUGCAACGUUCAUCACUAGGAAGGGACUCGCUUCGCUCGCCCCAAUUACACUGCGUACCCAGAGUGUUCACUACUGACCAAGUUGUCAAGUGAUAGCCAAUGAGAGGUGGUGUCUGAGGGGGUGGGAUCAGGGGACGAGGGGACAGAGUACCAGUACACCAGCUUCAGUGAUGAGGGGAUGACAGAUGCAGAGCCUGACAAAGAAGCCUGCAGUGCUCUGGUCCAAACCUUCCUCUCCUCCAUUGAUGAAGCCUCUCUGUCGCGGUUCAUCUCCCUCUUCCUGCUCCAGUCAAACUCCACCUCCUUGCGCUGGCAGGCACACAAGUUACUGCACACCCUCUAUCAGUACAGCCAGACUCCACAGCAGGUGUCACUGGUGAAGACCCUCUGGGAGAUGUGGCCCCAGUUGCCCACUUAUGGCCGCAAGUCAGCUCAGUUUGUGGACCUCCUUGGAUACCUGUCCAUCUCCACACCUGCUCCAUUGACUGUGCCACUGUUAAGCAUCCCUAGCUGCCCGGGCUGCUGUAUCAACUAUAGCCACUGUUAAGCAUCCCUAGCUGCCCGGGCUGCUGUAUCAACUAUAUUGUUAGCUAUACUAUUUUAGAGUGUGGAUUGCUAAACGUUACAUUGGGGGUGUGUCAAUCCUCCAUGGAACCAAACCAAGCGGAAAAUAAUUGCUCUUGCAGACUUACUUCUAGCCUCGAUUCCAGCUAUAUUUUCGGUGCGCAGGCGCAAGCGCUUAAGCGAGGUAUACAGUAGUGUGUUUGUGUGUCUGUGUGUGUGUAGACUGUUUCAGCUGCUCAAGGAUCAAUGAAGUGCAAGUAAGAGUUUCUAUAGGCUUCUAGUCAUGUUUUCUUGGCUUGGUAUUUGUGGAUUUGCAAAAUAAAGCUUCGUUCUCGAGUUAUGCCUAGUUUUGCUUACUUGGAAUGCCAUUGCAGCCUUUUCAGAAGAGUCCGUAACAAAACUUGUUCACCGAGUGUUGCUACUCUACUUAGUAGUUAGCUCUGCACUAGAACGCUAGCUAUUGGUAGCUGCGAGAGUGAGAUCGAGAAGAGAGCUGCAAGGUUCUGCUGACUUGCAGCCAUUAAUUUUAGACUUGAACUUUUGGCAUCGAUCGUUAUUAACAACAAUCAUCGUCGAUCAUUACCCACUCUUUGAGUUUCCCUGUGAUUCUGGAUUCUGCAUGCAUCAAAAUUAAAAAUGUUCAUCAUGAUAAUUAUAAUCAAUGUGUGUAUAAAAGCUAGCUACUAGUAACUUUAUGUUAUGUAGCUUUGGCACCUCCAUCGAGGCAUCAGCACCUGCGGUGCUUUCAUUUUUUAUUGUGGUCUAUCAAAAUAGGGUAUACCGAUAUAGUAUUUACCCUACUUUGAGGAUUCCUUAAUGGAUUAUGUGGCAAGCAAAAGUUGCAGGUUAAAGGGAAUAAGUGUGAAGCUAGCAUAAUCCACCAGGGCCCACAUACCAUGCUGCUAAUGACCUUGUAAGCACACGUGCUGUUCAGUAUAUAAGCUGUGCUGUAUUGAUAUUCCACUAAUAGUGAGAGUAACUCAGUGUAGAGUUACACAGCAUGCAUCUAUUGUCACUGUGUUCUGUGUCUCCUCAUGCAGUUGGUAGUGUGUUGGCUGGAUGGUCGCUGGCGUAUGUGAUGGGACAGUACAGUUGGAGCACAGCUUACUGGCUCAUGGAGCUCGUCUCUGUCUCCAUGGUGAUCGGCUAUCUCUACCUACUGUGGGUCAUGAUGAGAUCCAGAGAACCAGUAGGAGGGACCAAGAAACACUAACAUGCUACAUUCUUAGUUUAACCUCUGUUACCGUAAAUUCACGUUUUCAUUGGCAUAUUAAUUAAUGACAUG